GCCGCAGGGCUCUCCUUAGCGCGGCAGCAGGCGGAAGCGGAGCGACGCCCUCGCGCUGGCGGCCGGAAGUGACCUUCAGAAAGCAUUUAUUCUGCACGCGGUCCUUGGUAACCAGCUUUGAUGGCCUCUGGUGCGGGGCGGGCGACGCUUGCUUAAUUCCUUGCAGAAUCUUCUGGUUGUGCUGGUAAUAGCUUCUUAAUUCAGAAGGAUCAACAAGCAAAGACUUGCUGGUUUCUUCUUUACCACUUUGAGCUACAAGGAAAAGGACACUGAAUUUAAGAUGCCACCCCUCCUCCCUAAUUUCUAACAUCAAAGAAUUUGGGAGAAAGCCUAGUUUUGGAUUCAGGUAAAUAUGGACAGGUAUUACUUGGAGGCACACAGAUCCCAGAGGCAGAGUUACCCUAGUUUCCUUCAAGAUUCCACUGAUUUCCAUAACAUGGAUACAGAGGACUAUAUUGAUGCCUUGGAUCCUGAUAAGCUAAUGCAGUGUCCCUACGACAAGAAUCAUAAAAUCAGGGCAUGUAGGUUCCCUUACCACCUUGUCAAGUGCCGUAAGAACCACCCUGAUAUUGUGCAGCAACUGGCCACGUGUCCAUUUAAUGCCCGUCACCAGGUCCCCCGAGAAGAGAUCAGACAACACAUAUCAAGCUGUGAUGACAAAAGAUGUAUUGAACAGGACAUUGCAAGUCAGGUGGAUAGCCACAGAAGAGAGAGUAAUGUUGUAAGCUCCUGGCAGUCACCUCCAUGUGAAGAGGACUGGGACAGAGAACUAGAGGAGCAAUCAAACUCUGUUUUUGUUUGGGGCUCAACCCACUGUGGGGCAAGAAGCUCUGGAUCAAAUACAACCAUGGGACUUAACCACCUAGCUUCCGGUCUGCGAGCCCCCCGGUCCUUGCCACGUGUGCUACCAUGGAAGAAUACACUAGAACCAGGGGUCAUCCCAUGAAACUGAAGGCCAGGAAUUUUAGGACCAACAAGAGGAAAUACUUUUUUACACAGUUCUGGGAAUUGAAGACCAUGGCAGAAACUGUCCCUUCCAGUGGCUAUCAAGUGCUCAUUUCUCAAGUGCUCAUUUCUACUUUCUUGGACAUUUUGGAGUGCCGGCAAAGAGACUCAGACUAGCUAAACUAAACAAACUCUGGGUUUUUAGGACUCUUAAACCUAAAUGUAGCUGUUGAACACCACAAUUAAAAUGUCAUUUUUCUA